rnacentral:rRNA from 1 species
UACGUAGGGUCCGAGCGUUGUCCGGAAUUAUUGGGCGUAAAGAGCUCGUAGGUGGUUUGUCGCGUUGUUCGUGAAAACUCACAGCUCAACUGUGGGCGUGCGGGCGAUACGGGCAGACUGGAGUACUGCAGGGGAGACUGGAAUUCCUGGUGUAGCGGUGAAAUGCGCAGAUAUCAGGAGGAACACCGGUGGCGAAGGCGGGUCUCUGGGCCGAUACUGACGUGAGGAGCGAAAGCGUGGGGAGCAAACAGG